rnacentral:rRNA from 1 species
GAUGAACGCUGGCGGCGUGCCUAACACAUGCAAGUCGAGCGCGUCUGAUUUGAUGCUUGCAUUAAUGAAAGAUGAGCGGCGGACGGGUGAGUAACGCGUGGGUAACCUGCCCUAUACACAUGGAUAACAUACUGAAAAGUUUACUAAUACAUGAUAAUAUAUAUUUACGGCAUCGUAGAUAUAUCAAAGUGUUAGCGGUAUAGGAUGGACCCGCGUCUGAUUAGCUAGUUGGUGAGAUAACUGCCCACCAAGGCGACGAUCAGUAGCCGACCUGAGAGGGUGAUCGGCCACAUUGGAACUGAUACACGGUCCAAACUCCUACGGGAGGCAGCAUUGGGGAAUAUUGCACAAUGGUCGCAAGCCUGAGGCUGCAACGCCUCGUGAACGAUGAAGGGCUUCGGAUCGAAAUGUUCUGUUGCAGGGGAAGAUGAUGACUUUGCCCUGUGAGGAAGCUGUGGCUAUUUACGUGGCUGCGGCCGGUUUAAUGGCUAGGGGGCUUUCGUUAUCCGGAUUUACUGUGCGUAUGGGUGCGUAUGUGGCCUUGUAUGUGGGGUUUUGAGUUUUGUUUUCUCCGUGUAUGUUUCUAUUUUGGUGAUUUUUGGAUGGUGUGAUGUGUGUGUUUUGUUUUCGUCGUGUGCGUGUGUAUUUGUUAGUAAUGGUGGUGUGGGUUUGUGUGGAUGCUUCUUUGUG